rnacentral:lncRNA from 1 species
GACUUUGGACGCUCAUCGGCUAUAAAUGAUCGAAGUCGCUUGGCUCCAGGUAAGCUUGUUCCUUAGUUAUGUUCUUAUGCUUUCAUUAGUUUCAUUGAUAUAAAGUUUUUUCAAUUACAUUCUAUUUUAACAAAUAUAAUAUUUUAUAUCUAGAUGAAUGGUGGGUCACCUAUGGAAGUUGUGCACCUAAUUUGCAAAAGUUAGCUAUUCGUGUUUUAAGCCAAACUUGUAGUGCGUCCGAGUGCGAG